GACGAACGCUGGCGGCGUGCUUAACACAUGCAAGUCGAGCGGAAAGGCCCUUCGGGGUACUCGAGCGGCGAACGGGUGAGUAACACGUGAGUAACCUGCCCUUGGCUCUGGGAUAGCUCCGGGAAACCGGAAUUAAUACCGGAUAUGACCUCGGCCGACAUCGGCUGUGGUGGAAAGAUUUAUCGGCCAGGGAUGGGCUCGCGGCCUAUCAGCUAGUUGGUGGGGUAACGGCCUACCAAGGCGACGACGGGUAGCCGGCCUGAGAGGGCGACCGGCCACACUGGGACUGAGACACGGCCCAGACUCCUACGGGAGGCAGCAGUGGGGAAUAUUGCGCAAUGGGCGAAAGCCUGACGCAGCGACGCCGCGUGGGGGA
rnacentral:rRNA from 1 species